GACGAACGCUGGCGGCGUGCUUAACACAUGCAAGUCGAACGGUAGAGCCCCUUCUUUGACGUGAGAGCGGCGCACGGAUGGGGAACACGUCUGCAACCUACCUUUCUCUGGGGUUUAGCCUAUCGAAGGGAAGAUGAAUACCCCACAGUAUGCUGGAUCUCAUCCUCUGGUAUUGAAAGCUACGGUGGAUAGUUAGGGGCACGCGCGAGAUUGGAUAGUUGGUGAGGUAACGGCUCACCAGGUCAGCGAUCUUUAGGGAGCCUGAGAGGGUGAUGCCACACAGGGGGACUGAGACACGGACGAGACUCCUACGGGAGGGAGCAGUGAGGAAUAGUGCACUGGGGGUGAGAGCCUGAUCCAGCCAUCCCGGGUGAAGGAAGGCCGCGCUAUGGGUUGUACACUUCUUUUGUAUAGGGAGAAACCUAGAUACGGGUAUGUAGCUGAAGGUACUAGAUGAAUAAGCACCGGCUAACUACGUG
rnacentral:rRNA from 1 species